GAUUGUCUACGGGAGGCAGCAGUGAGGAAUAUUGGUCAAUGGCCGAGAGGCUGAACCAGCCAAGUCGCGUGAGGGAUGACGGCCCUACGGGUUGUAAACCUCUUUUGCCGGGGAGCAAAGAGCGGGACGCGUCCCGCCUCGAGAGUACCCGGAGAAAAAGCAUCGGCUAACUCCGUGCCAGCAGCCGCGGUAAUACGGAGGAUGCGAGCGUUAUCCGGAUUCAUUGGGUUUAAAGGGUGCGCAGGCGGGCCUUUAAGCCGGCGGUGAAAU
rnacentral:rRNA from 1 species